rnacentral:rRNA from 1 species
UACGUAGGUGACAAGCGUUAUCCGGAAUUACUGGGCGUAAAGCGCACGCAGGCGGCUGCGUAAGUCUGACGUGAAAUCUCCCGGCUUAACCGGGAGCGGUCGUUGGAAACUAUGCGGCUUGAGGCGAUGAGAGGGGUGUGGAAUUCCCGGUGUAGUGGUGGAAUGCGUAGAUACCAGGAGGAACACCGGUGGCGAAGGCGGCUUCCUGGACGGAUUAUUGACGCUGAGGCACGAAAGCGUGGGGAGCAAACGGG